ACAAGUCUGAGUCCUAGUCGGGUACUAUUACAGAGUUUUACUCGGUAUCGUCCCGAGUAGUUUUCCACAAACAUAAAAGACUAGUAAGAUACGCCCAUCCUUGUUCUGAUCACGUUCGAGUACGUCCCAUAGUGGGCCGUCCAAGGCCUACUCGUGGGUCCGGGGAGUAGUCCCGACACUUUGGGCCUCCUUCUCCACUUGAACAGCCUGUUGGUAUCCUCCG
rnacentral:lncRNA from 1 species